GAGUGAGCAUUGCGCCGUUUCGGGAAACGUUCUUUUGUCAGCUUGCCCCCUCGUUUCAUCGCCGAGUGUUUGUGUGCACGUUUUUUUUUUGUUUGCCUACCUCACCUGCGCCACUCGAAGCGCUCACAAGCGCCAGCCGCUGCAACAGCACAAGCCGCUGCGUGUUUUCUUACGCGUGCACGCAUACACAUAUAUGCAUAUUUGUUUCUGACAUCUACUUACCUGCCUGUUCCAUAUAGCCGGUAAGAAGAUACGAGAUGGCGUCGAUUGAAAUUCCGCCUGAGGAUCGGCAGCAUAUCGACUACCUCGCCGAUCUUUUUGCCGUCAUCGUUGCCAUCGAGCAGAUCGAGAAGGCCAACCGCCGAGACCUGAUCAAUCAAGACCAGUACGACACCACAGUUCGUAGGCUUCUGGAGAAGUACAAGAAUACCGUAGCGCACCUGCAGGGCGCACGCAACCCGUACUUCACGACGAUCGAUGACUUCUUUGACAAGUACUGCGCGCGCUUUCUGGCGGCACGGGCGACGAUCCGGGACGGUCCGAUGAGCAGCCCGAAUGAAAACAACGCUCGCUUUCUCGCGCGUCAGUCGGUGGAGUGUAGCGACCACUUUAUCACCUUGCUUGACUCUCUGCGCCUCCAGCAGACCUCCGUCGAUGUUCUUAACCCACCUCUCGGCGACCUUCUGCAAGUCUUGCGAAAGCUGGGCCUGAGCAAGGAGGAGUUCUGCGUGCGCCUGCAGAAUUGGCAGCGACGUCUGGACAGCAUGAGCGCCGCGGACAUGUUGGACGAGUCCGCGGCGCGUGACUUCGCCUACGACCUAGAUCGCGGGUAUGCCUGCUUUAAGGCGUUCUUGGAGAGUGAUCCGACGCUGUCCACGCGAAGGUAGGAAGAGAGAGGGGGGCUUUCGUUUGCCUUGGACUUCUGCACAUGCGCGGAGUGGACGAUUGACGUCUCUCGCGCUCUCUCUCUCUCCGCUCUGCUGAUGCUGUGUUGAGAUACAGACGGGCCUCCAACAGUUCGGGUGCGCUGUUAUCGUUGUUCUCUCUCCGUGGUGCCUCUGUAUGUGGAAUAGUUGCCAAGCUGAGUUUGCGCGUGAUUGUCAUCCUCCUAUGCAGACGGCUGCUGGAGGCAGUGAUAGCGAUGGCAGCGGAGGCCACCAUCUGGGCGCGUGUUGGUGCCCCUUUCUCUGUGAUUAGCGUGCCUCUGUCUCCGCUCAUUGUGGCCGAUCGACUUGCAGUUCUCGGUCCCACCACAUCGUGGCACCUUCUUAGUCCUGUUGUCUCCUAUGCCUCUCGAUACCCUCUAUCUUUUCGAAUUUUUUUUCUAUGACAGGCAAGACGUAUAUCCAUCCGCACACG
rnacentral:misc_RNA from 1 species